UACGUAGGUGGCAAGCGUUGUCCGGAUUUAUUGGGUUUAAAGGGUGCGUAGGCGGUCUAUUAAGUCAGUGCUGAAAUAUCCCGGCUUAACCGGGAGGGUGGCAUUGAUACUGAUGGACUUGAGUAGAGUCGAGGUAGGCGGAAUUGACGGUGUAGCGGUGAAAUGCUUAGAUAUCGUCAAGAACACCGAUAGUGUAGACAGCUUACCAGGCUCAAACUGACGCUGAGGCACGAAAGUGUGGGGAUCAAACAGG
rnacentral:rRNA from 1 species